GCUCUUCUUGGAUGAGUUGCGAACGGGUGAGUAACGCGUAGGUAACCUGCCUUGUAGCGGGGGAUAACUAUUGGAAACGAUAGCUAAUACCGCAUAACAAUGGAUGACACAUGUCAUUUAUUUGAAAGGGGCAAUUGCUCCACUACAAGAUGGACCUGCGUUGUAUUAGCUAGUAGGUGAGGUAACGGCUCACCUAGGCGACGAUACAUAGCCGACCUGAGAGGGUGAUCGGCCACACUGGGACUGAGACACGGCCCACACUCCUACGGGAGGCAGCAGUAAGGAAUCUUCGGCAAUGGGGGCAACCCUGACCGAGCAACGCCGCGUGAGUGAAGAAGGUUUUCGGAUCGUAAAGCUCUGUUGUAAGUCAAGAACGAGUGUGAGAGUGGAAAGUUCACACUGUGACGGUA
rnacentral:rRNA from 1 species